UUUUUUUUAAAUUAUUUUAAUUGGGGCGAUUAACAAAAAUAAGAAACUUUAUUUUUCCAAAAAAAUGAACCAUUAAUAAUGGUUAUAUGAAAAAAAUACUCUAGGGAUAACAGCGUAAUAAUUUUAGAUAGUUCUUAUAGACAAAAUAGUUUGCGACCUCGAUGUUGGAUUAGGAUUCUUAUUUAAUGAAGAAGUUAAAAAAAGAAGUUUGUUCAACUUUUAAAAUCCUACAUGAUCUAGUUCAGACCGG
rnacentral:rRNA from 1 species